AUUUUCCUGGAAGAAGAAAAUAGGCACCAAUUAUCUGAUAGAGCAAAGUGCAUAAAAUAGCAAUGCAUAUACAAACUAGUACAUGCAGUGUCUCUUCAGCAAUCUAUAUCGUAGUUCUAAGCUCCAAUCAAUAAAGUAUUUUUUUCCACAACGUACAAUCCUGUAACAUUUGGUUUCUCUUCCACUGAAGCGUUCCUGAUUAUCUGGACCCAUUUCAUCUGAGUCCAAGCAUGGUUUGGGGGAUGAAUCAACCUUGAUUGCCCUGCUGAAAUGUGACACAGGAGUGUGGCCAUGUCACUUUUACUCGACAUCUCAGCAGCUUGGUAUCUUAUGUCCCAGAGUGGGUUACAACAAUUUAAAAUUUAUAAUUAAAAAUAGUUACAACAGAGUACAGUCUCAGGAAUAGGAUAAGCCUUGAAAACGCACAUCCCAGGUACCUAAAGAGGUCUGUCUUCAGCAUUCACCAAAAGCUGUACAGUGAAGAUGCCAGACACAUCCAGGGCCGGAAUUAGGUUUGAUGAGGCCCUAAACUACUGAAGCCUUACCCAUCUCUUGUUGCAGAAUCGAGGAGUUGGGAGUGGACAUAGAUCUUUCUCACGUUCACAGACCUCGAGUGAGACAUACUAACAGCUGCCGCCGCUUCUACUCUUGUCUCUUCAACCCCC